CUUUCCUAAAUCUCUGAUGCAUUUCAGACACCUCAAACCAUACUUCGUUUAGAUUUAUUUUUGGCCAUGUAUGAAUGUUUUAUUCAAUGUGUCUCUAUGGGCUAAUAGCAGUAAGGCCAAAUAAGUCUUUCAUCAAAUAAUUUUUAUAUAUUUUUUGGGAAUACCUACAGAGGUCCUAAAAAUAGCUGGUCCAUCUUAUGAUCAAACUAAAACAAUUCUAUAUGUUAGCUUUAUAGAUAUCGUCUUAGACUCCUAGGGGUUCAGCUUGUGGGCGUCGUAGAGCAAAACAGCUGACCCGUUCGUGUGAGUCUCAGCUUUCCAUAGUGGGGUGAUUUUUGUUUCUGGCUUAAACCGUUCGGACUUGACAGAUGUUUUCGUUGGAAGAAAAACAAAGUUGGCAUGCCAAAGGGACCGACUUCAAACGAGUCCCGUGAAGCUUGUCGUAGACCAAAACAGCCGUGAGUCUCAGCUUUCCAUAAUGGGGUCACUCCGCUGUAGAGCUGCCUGUUUCCACUGCAGAUGGGGUAAACCGACAUCGGCGGAUGUUGUGUAUUGAGACGCAGUCCUUGCAAAAAACUAAAGCCUCUAGGUUGAACAGACAGAUUAGUUUUCCACGCAGGCACAGACAUCGACUAUAGGCAUAUCAAAUAUAAAUGUUUACAAAAUAAUAAUAAGACAUGAUACAUUUCACAUUAUAGAAUUAUAGGAAUAUAGAAUUAAUAAAACAUCUGUUGGUCAGAAAAUAGAAGUGAUAAGAUUAGGCAUUCUAUUUCUGUGUUUAAAAUCCCCUCAAUGACCAUGGUGUCUGGUAAACCUUUGGGGAUGUUUAUUAUGAACAAAACAUCCCCAAUCUUCCAUCUGGUCCUCCAUUUAGUUUUUCAGCAUCGGAGCCCAUGGACGUGGAGAGUCCAACCGACACAGGAUACGUAGACACUAAUAUCAUAUCAGUGUCAGAAGUGUAAGUUUAGAGUAGGCUACCCUUCAUACGUUACAUAUUUCUUAAUCUAUAACAGGAAGACAUUUUAUUUGCAAUGUUCUGGUUUGGGUCCCGUGUGGCUCAGUUGGUAGAGCAUGGUGUUUGCAACGCCACGUUUGUGGGUUCGAUUCCCACGGGGGACCAGUACGGGGGAAAAAAUUAUGAAAUGUAUGCAUUCACUACUGUAAGUCGCUCUGGAUAAGAGCGUCUGCUAAAUGUCUAAAAUGUAAAAAAAAAAAAGUAAAAUGUAAUCCAUAAUCUGACUUAAUUGACUGUUAUUUUCCCCAUGGACAUCAGAGAGUACCUCAGCAAGUGGAUUGAGAGCAUCGACUGGGAUAAUGUGGCUGUUGAUGAAUCCUUGGCCACUGUCUGCUUCCACGAUCUCCUAGCCCAGCUUGAUGACCAACACAGCCACUUCGCCCUGGAGAAAGACCUCCUGCGACAACACAACAUCCGCAAGCUCAAGGGAAACCUCCAGGAGGAACCUGUUUACAUGGCCAUGAUCAUCUCUAGAAACCUGAAGGAGGAGCAGAGGAUUCUGGCUGCUGCCAAAAGCAUAGAGAUCGACAGAGAAGACACACAGACCAGCAUGGUCCUGGAGAAGCAAAAGCUGGACAACAAAGUCAAAGACAUGAAAAACAAGGUUCAGGAAGCGGAUCAGAAUAUAAAGUCUCUGGAAUACCUUCAAGACGAGCAUGACUUUAAGGAAAAUACUCUUAAGAACAGAGAACAUGAAAUGAACGGGCUGACACCCAAACAGCUGGAAUACGAGAAGCUGCUGAUUGUAGAGAUGAACUUAAGCUUGAAACACAAGAGAAAUGAAGUGGUUGGCCAGUUGGCGGAGGUGCUCAACAUGGCCGAGGCGGUCCAGUCAGACCUGAUCUCAGAGGAGCUGCCUGAGUGGAAGAAGAGGCAGCAGCGCUCCUGUAUUGGAGGACCACCCAACACAUGUCUGGACCAACUGCAGAACUGGUUCACAGCGGUGGCAGAAAGCCUGCAGCAGGUGAGGCAGCAGCUGAAGGAGCUCCAGGAACUAGAGCAGAAGUACACAUACGACAACGACCCAAUCAAACAGCAGAAAGGCUUCCUGGAGGGGCGGGCCUUGGCACUGUUCCGGAACCUCCUUGAACAUUCCUUGGUGGUAGAGAGACAGCCCUGUAUGCCCACACAUCUACAGAGACCUCUGGUGCUGCAGACAAAGAUGCAGUUCACUGUCAAGCUCAGAUUUCUUGUGACGCUCCAGGAAUUCAACUAUCAGCUCAAAGUGAAAGCUUUGUUUGACAAGGACGUUACAGAAAAGAAUGGGUUUCGUAAGUUCAACAUAUUGGGUACCAACACAAAAGUUAUGAAUAUGGAGGAGUCAAAUGGAAGCUGGCUGCAGAGUUUUUCCAUUUGAAACUGCUAGAGCAGAGAGUGACUGGAAAAGGAAAGAAAGAGGGGCCUCUCAUUGUGACAGAGGAGCUGCACUGCAUCUGCUUUGAGUCGGAACUCCGCCAGUCAGGUCUGGAAAUCAAACUAGGGACCAUCUCCCUGCCCAUCGUGGUCAUCUCCAACAGCAGCCAGAUGCCCAGUGGCUGGGCCUCCAUCCUGUGGUACAACAUGCUGACCAGCGAGCCCCAGAACCUGGAGUUCUUCCUGAGCCCUCCGACAGUGUCCUGGGGUCAGCUAUCUGAGGUGCUGAGCUGGCAGUUCUCCUCUGUCACCAAGAGGGGACUCAAUGAUGAGCAGCUAGGCAUGCUGGCCGACAAACUACUGGGCCAGAAAGCACAGAGGAAUCCUGAGGGCCUUAUCCCCUGGACCAUGUUUGGUGCUGUCAAGAGCCUCAGUGAGAAGAGGUUUCCCUUCUGGCUGUGGAUCGAAGCCAUCCUGGACCUCAUCAAGAGACAUCUGCUGACCCUGUGGAAUGAUGGUUGCAUCCUGGGCUUCGUGAGUAAGGAGAGGGCAAAGGCCAUGCUGACUGGGAAGUGUCCAGGCACGUUCCUGCUGCGCUUCAGUGAGAGUAGCAGAGACGGAGCCAUCACAUACACUUGGGUGGAACGCGACCUAAACGAUACGCCUGUAUUCCAUGCUGUGGAGCCUUAUGCCAAGAAGAAGCUGUCUGUCAUCUCUCUGCCUGAAAUCAUCCGCAACUACAAGGUGAUGGCAGCUGGGAACAUCCCAGAGAACCCACUCUGCUUCCUCUACCCAGACAUCCCCAAAGACGAGGCCUUCGGAAAGUUCUACACCAGGACCAUGGAGGCAGAGCCCAUGGAUGUGGAGAGUCCCACCGACACAGGAUACAUACAGAAAGAUUUCAUACCAGUGUCAGAACUAUGACUGCAGAGUUUGAGAACACACUGGACUUGGACCGCAACUGAGCCGAGCCGAUGGACAGGCAGGAUCUUUUAGACCAGAAGAUAUGUUUUAUACUGAAGCAAAAUUGCAUACUGUACACUUACUAUAUUUCACCUUUACUCUCCUUCCAUUUCCAAUUUCAGUUUUGUCACGUUUCAGAACGUUUUUUCUUUUUUUGUACAGAGCAAGUGUUGUGAAAAUUCACCACUAAGGCCUCAAACUCAAUGUAAAUGAAUCAAUCUAUAUUAUCGGUUAACUGGAGUUUCACAAACUCAAUCCAAGCUUGAUGAAAACUCUCUGAAAAAGGGCGUUCCUUUCAGUCCUUAUAAAUUGCUACACAAACAAGUCAUAUAAGCAUGAUUCAAUAACAACACUGGUUCCUGCAUGUGACUGACGUGGCUUCUUCUCUCAAAGCUGGGAACUUGAAACUGAGAUACUCAUUUUGUUUCCCAGAGCAAUGUUCUGGGUGUACUGUCAAUUGCUCUGAGGAGGUCAGUCAUCUGCAAGAACCAAGACAGCCUUGAAUUGUACAUUUCUUCUCACUCUCUCUUCAGACAGUACAAUUUUCUCUCACACAAGUUUUAAAAUAUAUGAAAUGAUAAACUGGAGCUGUAAAUACAAUUACAGUGUGAAUAAUCAUGUAGUACACACUGCACUGGAAACAAUUCAUACUUGUGUUAAUUUGGUGAUCAUUUGUAACAUUCAUGGAAUUAAUUAAUGUAGAUACCCAAGUCUUCACAUGCCUUUAUUCAAGAAUAUAGAGUGGGAGUAAAGGGAGAUAUCCAUAUUUAAAGUUCUUUAUUUAUUGUUUGAUUAUUGAAAUAAAUAUAUCUCCAUUGCCUGCAACACACAGCUAAAGCAGAUAUACUUCAAUGAAAACAAACUGACAUCAGUAAACACCUGUGGUACAUUCAAAAUAAUUAGCUAAUGUUGAAGUUGAUCUGCACCUACACAGGGGAACAAUAAACACUCAUACGUACGAGGCUUCUUGUGCAACUGGGACUGGGGAGACAAAGUCAAAUCCAAUGAAAGCAACACUGAACACUUGAGAUGAGUUAUUCAAUCAAAAUAUAUUCAUUCAUCAAAUCACAAGUAAGUUGCCUUAGGUACUUUUAGAACAAUAGUGUAGGGCUUGAGAUUUUGAUGGCAAUGUCCUCUGUCAUUACCAGAUUUGUAGUCGCUGUCCCUCCCAUAGUCAAUAACACAAACAAAUACACACAUGGACUAGUUCUCACCAAAACAACCUGACUUUUCAAGUAUAGGCUUAUACGUUUAUUUUACACUCUAAACAGUUAAACAAUCAAUAUGUGCAUCUCUGCAUAAAAAGUGAACCAUUAGUUAUGCGUAGAAUCGUCUUAGUGUUCUGCGUUCAUAUAGGCCCAUAAGGAUAACUAUUUUAUCUCUACCCAAAAGAGGCAUUUGGGUGAGUAGGGCAAGAUUUAAAGUCCACCAUUGUGGAGUUGUUCCGAACUAAAAACAUUCAAGUGUAAUGCACUGUCUGUAACUGAAGAUAAAUCCAUGUAAAACCAAAUAUCUGACAAAUAAGUCAACUUGUGUGACAUAACAGUAACACCAUUGACACUGCUGUAACCAUGAAGUGAUAAAUCAAUGUUUCGAAGGGUUUAAUGUUUUGCCCUAAAAUUUGACUUUGAAACCUGUCUGUAAAGAGCACAUGGCUGCUGGUUGAAUUGUAUUGUAUUGCUCCUGAGGCGGCUCACACAUAAAAUGCUCUCUUUUUUUACGUCGCCGACUAGACUUAUCAGGUGGAGCAAACGUACAGAAAAGCUUUGGCUGACACAAACAAAUAACCCCCUUUCUACUCAAAAUUAAUAUAAGAUUAUAGAACAAUCAAUAAAAAAAGAUUUUUUUGGUUAUUUUGGAGAAAAGGGUGCAAAAAUGUCUAGCUAUCAAAUAGCAAACCAACAAAACUAAACUCACUCCACAUAAUGCCAUACUUUCAAUUCAUAUGAAGCCAGAAGUCUCAAACCAUAGAUAGCCUGGUCCCAGAUCUGUCUGGCCUGUAUAGCCAACUGUAUAGCCAAUGCCAUAUACAGUGCAAACAGAUUUGCAACCAGGCUACCUAGAUCUGUGAACAUGUGGAAUAGUUUAUGUAAAGCAUUCUGCUUCAUGAAUAGAGUCAAACUUAAGCCUAAUGCAGUGUGUGGACUUUACCAAUUUCCUUCAAAGGCUGUGCCAGUGAGAGUCACUUGAUUUCACUUCAGAUUAAAUAGUAUUUACACUGAAUCCAUCUACCUCUGAUAUUCAUUUCAGGGAUAUACACACGUUACAUAAAUGUACACGUUAUCUUACGCAUACUUUCAGGUUUAACACGUUGUACAUAAAGAUAAAUGUUUUGUGAACUUAAAUGUGGAAAAUACAUUCCACAUAGUGCUGACACACACUGAGGGAGAGUUGCGCAGUACGACAUAAAAAAGCGAAGCGAAAGGAAACAACCAAAAAAAACGAAAAACAUCUGGGAAAAAGUCAAAGGUCAAUAAAUAUAUAUAUUUUUUAAACACAAUGUCGUUUUUCAAAUGCUAGAAAUACAAUACUUUUAUACAAAAUCAACAAUACAGUAUUAUCAACAGUAUACGUACGUGACCUACCACUAACGUGACAAAGGGACCACACAGACUUACAGUAAGUCUUCCAGAUAGUUAAUGGGGCCAUAGAAAUAGAAUGACCGGAAAGGACCAAGCCUCUCAGAUCACGUGUAUAUAUAAUUUCAAUGGGAAUGUCCGUUCUAGUUAUUUUAUUUCUAUGGAUAGAUAAGAGUAUUAGUUGGCUCAUAGUAGGCCGUCAAUGUUCUUCUCUGAUAUCUCCUUCUCUUUGUCCUCAGUGGCGCCCCCCGCUGGACUGUACUUGUUGUUGUAGUCCUGGAGCAUGGUCACAACAUCAUGGUGUCCAAAGUGCACUGCCUCUUCCAUCGGUGUGUUACCCCACCUUGAUGGAACAGACAAGAGACAUUGUAAACACUGCUCUUAAAUAGACACGUUUUACAUUAGCUAAGUUUCUAUCCAAUUGGCGACAGAUUUUCACGCGAAUAUUCUCAAAUCUGCAAAAACAAAAUGUGUGCAUUUUCCCACCAGAGAUGUGCUUCCAUGAAAUGUACUUGUUGCAGAUAAAAGGUUGUGCAUGAUGACGUAGUGGACAUAAAAAUAACUUUUGCUGUUAAAUUCCCAUGUACCGAAUAAAAAAUACAAGUUCA